rnacentral:rRNA from 1 species
GAUGAACGCUGGCGGCGUGCCUAAUACAUGCAAGUCGAGCGAAUGGAUUAAGAGCUUGCUCUUAUGAAGUUAGCGGCGGACGGGUGAGUAACACGUGGGUAACCUGCCCAUAAGACUGGGAUAACUCCGGGAAACCGGGGCUAAUACCGGAUAACAUUUUGAACCGCAUGGUUCGAAAUUGAAAGGCGGCUUCGGCUGUCACUUAUGGAUGGACCCGCGUCGCAUUAGCUAGUUGGUGAGGUAACGGCUCACCAAGGCAACGAUGCGUAGCCGACCUGGGAGGGUGAUCGGGCACACUGGGACUGGAACACGGCCCAGACUCCUACGGGAGGCAGCAGUAGGGAAUCCUCCGGAAUGGACGAAAGUCUGACGGAGCAACGCCGCGUGAGUGAUGAAGGCUUUCGGGUCGUAAAACUCUGUUGUUAGGGAAGAACAAGUGCUAGUUGAAUAAGCUGGCACCUUGACGGUACCUAACCAGAAAGCCACGGCUAACUACGUGCCAGCCGCCGCGGUAA